rnacentral:rRNA from 1 species
UACGUAGGGGGCGAGCGUUGUCCGGAAUUAUUGGGCGUAAAGCGCGUGUAGGCGGUCCGGUAAGUCCGCUGUGAAAGUCGAGGGCUCAACCCUCGAAUGCCGGUGGAUACUGUCGGGCUAGAGUGCGGAAGAGGCGAGUGGAAUUCCUGGUGUAGCGGUGAAAUGCGCAGAUAUCAGGAGGAACACCUAUGGCGAAGGCAGUUCGCUGGGACGUUACUGACGCUGAGACGCGAAAGCGUGGGGAGCAAGCAGG